AUCAUGGCUCAGGAUGAACGCUGGCGGCGUGCUUAACACAUGCAAGUCGAACGGUGAACACGGAGCUUGCUCUGUGGGAUCAGUGGCGAACGGGUGAGUAACACGUGAGCAACCUGCCCCUGACUCUGGGAUAAGCGCUGGAAACGGCGUCUAAUACUGGAUAUGUGACGUGACCGCAUGGUCUGCGUCUGGAAAGAAUUUCGGUUGGGGAUGGGCUCGCGGCCUAUCAGCUUGUUGGUGAGGUAAUGGCUCACCAAGGCGUCGACGGGUAGCCGGCCUGAGAGGGUGACCGGCCACACUGGGACUGAGACACGGCCCAGACUCCUACGGGAGGCAGCAGUGGGGAAUAUUGCACAAUGGGCGCAAGCCUGAUGCAGCAACGCCGCGUGAGGGACGACGGCCUUCGGGUUGUAAACCUCUUUUAGCAGGGAAGAAGCGAAAGUGACGGUACCUGCAGAAAAAGCGCCGGCUAACUACGUGCCAGCAGCCGCGGUAAUACGUAGGGCGCAAGCGUUAUCCGGAAUUAUUGGGCGUAAAGAGCUCGUAGGCGGUUUGUCGCGUCUGCUGUGAAAUCCGGAGGCUCAACCUCCGGCCUGCAGUGGGUACGGGCAGUCUAGAGUGCGGUAGGGGAGAGAGGAACUCCUGGUGUAGCGGUGGAAUGCGCAGAUAUCAGGAGGAACACCGAU
rnacentral:rRNA from 1 species